rnacentral:rRNA from 1 species
AAAGAAACUAACAAGGAUUUUCUUAGUAGCGGCGAGCGAAAAGAAAUCAGUUCAGCACUAAGUCACUUUGUCUAUAUGGCAAAUGUGAGAUGCAGUGUAUGGAACAUCAAUAUUCUAGUAUGAGAAAUUAACGAUUUAAGUCCUUCUUAAAUGAGGCCAUUUACCCAAAGAGGGUGCCAGGCCCGUAUAACGUUAAUGAUUACUAGAUGGUGUUUCCAAAGAGUCGUGUUGCUUGAUAGUGCAGCACUAAGUGGGUGGUAAACUCCAUCUAAAACUAAAUAUAACCAUGAGACCGAUAGUAAACAAGUACCGUGAGGGAAAGUUGAAAAGAACUCUGAAUAGAGAGUUAAAUAGUACGUGAAACUGCUUAGAGGUUAAGCCCGAUGAACCUGAAUAUCCAUUAUGGAAAAUUCAUCAUUAGAUUUGUAAUAUUUAAACAAUAUUAUAAAAAUAGUGUGCAUUUUUUCCAUAUAAGGACAUUGUAAUCUAUUAGCAAAUAUAAUUUAUCAAAAGAUUAUAAAAAAUGGUUUAUUUAAAUUAAUGUGCUUGCAUGUUAACACAAAAUAAAUUUUAUAAAUUUGAUAAAAUGUUGAUAGAUUUAUAUGAAUACAGUGCGUUAAUUUUUUUAAAAUUAUAUAAUGGCAUGAUUAUCAUUGAUAUUUGUGUUUAUUAUAUGCACUUGUAUGAUUAACAAUGCGAAAGAUUCAGGAUACCUUCGGGACCCGUCUUGAAACACGGACCAAGGAGUCUAACAUAUGUGCAAGUUAUUGGGAUAUAAACCUAAUAGCGUAAUUAACUUGACUAUUAAUGGGAUUAGUUUUUUAACUAUUUUAGUUAAUAAACACAAUCCCGGGGCG